UACAGGGGGUGCAAACGUUGCUCGGAAUCAUUGGGCGUAAAGCGCACGUAGGCGGUUCGUUAUGUCGGAUGUGAAAGCCCUUGGCUUAACCGAGGAAGUGCACCCGAAACUGGCGAGCUAGAGUACUAAAGAGGAUCGCGGAAUUCCCGGUGUAGAGGUGAAAUUCGUAGAUAUCGGGAGGAACACCGGUGGCGAAGGCGGCGAUCUGGGUAGAUACUGACGCUGAGGUGCGAAAGCGUGGGGAGCAAACAGG
rnacentral:rRNA from 1 species